rnacentral:lncRNA from 1 species
CACUUUUCACCUCAAACCCAGCCAUACUUUUUUUUCCAAUCAUUUUUGUAUUGAUAUUAUUAUUUUUUUAAAUACACGACAACAGUGGAAUGCAUUAUAAUCCUUAUUACACAUAUAGAGCACAAUUUUUCAUAUCUCUGUAUAUGAUGUAUGUUCACACCAAUUUAUGCCAUUAUACAUGUACUUUUUUGCAUUACAAUCCUUAAUACACAUAUAUACCACAAUUUUUCAUAUCUCUGUUUGUAUAUAAGGUAUGUUGACACCCAAUUCAAGUCUUCAUACAUGUACUUUGUAUAAUGAUGACCAUCACAUUUCACCAUCUUUGCUAGUCCCCUUCCUCCUCCCCUUCCUUUCCACCCCUCUUCCCUAUCUAGAAUUAAUCUAAUCUUCCCAUGUUCUCCCUCCCUACCCCACUAUGAGUCACUCCCCUUAUAUCAGGGGAAACAUUCAGCAUUUGUUUUUUUGGGAUUGGCUAACUUCACUUAGCAUUAUCUUCUCCAACACCAUCCAUUUACUUGCAAAUGCCAUGAUUUUUGUUCUUUUUUAAUGCUGAGUAAUAUUCCAUUGUGUAUAAAUACCACAUUUUUUUUUAUCCAUUCAUCCACUGAGGGACAUCUGGGUUGGCUCCACAGUUUAGCUAUUGUGAAUUGUGCUGCUAUAAACAUUGAUGUGGCUGUGUCCCUGUAGUAUGCUAUUUUUAAGUCCUUUGGGUAUAGUUCGAGAAGAGGAAUAGCUGGGUCAAAUGGUGGUUCCAUUCCCAGAUUUUCAAGGAAUCUCCAUACUGCUUUCCAAAUUGGCUGCACCAAUUUGUAGUCCCACCAGCAAUGUAUGAAUGUACCUUUUCCCCCACAUCCUCACCAACACUUGUUGUUGUUUGUCUUCAUAAUAGCUGCCAUUCUGACUGGAGUGAGAUAAUAUUUUAGAGUAGUUUUGAUUUGCAUUUCUCUGAUUGCUAGAGAUGAUGAGCAUUAUUUCAUAUAUUUGUUGAUUGAUUGUAUAUCCUCUUCUGAGAAGUGUCUCUUCAGAUCCUUGGCCCAUGGGUUAUUUGUUUUUUUGGUGCUUAACUUCUUGUGUUCUUUAUAUACCCUAGAGAUUACUGCUCUAUCUGAUGUGUGAGGGGUAAAAAUUUGCUCCCAGGAUGUAGGCUCUCCGUAUACUUUUAACAGUCAACACUACUCAGUAGUCAUUCAGAGCCCUGAAGCUCUUGUUCCAUUCUUGGUUUUGUCCUGAGAGCUGCAAAACAGGUGGAAGGAGUGAUAAUCACCAGCUCACACUGUUCUCAGUCCUGCAAAUGGCUGAUACCACUGAGAAGGUUCAGGGUCUGAGGGAGAGAGAACCAAGCACCUCCUUUGAUAGAUACCUUGUGCCUUAGAAUGCAUUUGUUUUAUUUGAUAAGGGACUCAUUGGGCUGGGGUUGAGGCUAACAUGUGCAAGGCACUGGGUUCGAUUCUCAGCACCACAUAUAAAUAAGUAAAUAAAAUAUACCAAACAAAAAUAAGUCCCUAAUAAAAAUAUUUUUAUUAAUUUAUUAAAUAUUUUUUUAUUUAAUAACUAAUAAAAAUAUUUUUUAAAAAAUAAAGGACUCGUUUUUUUUUUAUUUAAUAAGGGACUUAUUUUUGUUGGUAUAUUUUACAAGAAAAUGUUU